rnacentral:rRNA from 1 species
AGAGUUUGAUCCUGGCUCAGGACGAACGCUGGCGGCGUGCUUAACACAUGCAAGUCGAGCGGAAAGGCUCCCUUCGGGGAGUACUCGAGCGGCGAACGGGUGAGUAACACGUGGGCAACCUACCUCUCGUAUCGGGAUACCCCGGGGAAACCCGGAUCAAUACCGAAUAACGUGCCCCUCGCUGGAGGGAGUACCAAAGAUAGCUUCGGCCUUCGACGAGAGACGGGCCCGCGUCCCAUUAGCUAGUUGGCGGGGUAACGGCCCACCAAGGCGACGAUGGGUAGCUGGUCUGAGAGGAUGAUCAGCCACACUGGGACUGAGACACGGCCCAGACUCCUACGGGAGGCAGCAGUGGGGAAUCUUGCGCAAUGGGCGGAAGCCUGACGCAGCAACGCCGCGUGCGGGAGGAAGGCCUUCGGGUUGUAAACCGCUUUCAGGAGGGACGAAGCCACUUGGGUUAAUAGCCCGUAGGGUGACGGUACCUCCAGAAGAAGCCCCGGCUAACUACGUG